rnacentral:rRNA from 1 species
AUGGUCGCAGGUGUGACGCCCCCGAUUCAAUCGUACACUAAUCAUACACGCAAAUGUGUACAAUCAAGAUCAGGGACUCACAGGAUGUGGCCGAUGGUUUCAACAGAAAUCCACCGACAUGUCAAAAUGAUGUAUUUCCAAAAUUUAUAUGAACAAGUUUGUGUUGGGGCGGUAGGCAAGAAUGUUGUCGAUGAUAACACAAAUCGAGGGGUAAGGAUGGUAUUUUUCAUCGCGAAUUUGAUUGAUAUGCUGGAAGAGCUCAGAAUGUUGACGAUGAUCAUGACAUUUGUCGAGAGAUUUCAUGAAGAUGUAAUCAAUCGGCGACGACAUCAAGUCAAAGGAAUGAUAAAGCAAAAUGUUAUUGGAACCACAGGUAUGACACAAACUCGAAAUCAAGCUUGUUGUUCAAGGUGA